UUUGCAUUUGCUCUUACUGAGUACUGCCUAACCUCUGCUGUAGUGAGUUAGAAUUCAGUUAAUUGGGAUUUUCAUACUAAUACAUUCUUUCAGCUUGGUCUCUUCCAGACAUUCAUCCCGUGAGACCUCUGUGACCACGUCUCUGCUGGGACCUGUCAUCUCAGAAUCCCUAAGACAUAGGAAGAAAUCUGCAGUCUUAAGAGUGGAGAGGUAUGUUCUCAUUUUAAUAUGUUAAAUUCAUAUUAAU
rnacentral:lncRNA from 1 species